rnacentral:rRNA from 1 species
AGUGAACGCUGGCGGUAGGCCUAACACAUGCAAGUCGAACGGCAGCACAGUAAGAGCUUGCUCUUACGGGUGGCGAGUGGCGGACGGGUGAGGAAUACAUCGGAAUCUACUUUUUCGUGGGGAUAACGUAGGGAAACUUACUCUAAUACCGCAUACGACCUACGGGUGAAAGCAGGGGAUCUUCGGACCUUGCGCGAUUGAAUGAGCCGAUGUCGGAUUAGCUAGUUGGCGGGGUAAAGGCCCACCAAGGCGACGAUCCGUAGCUGGUCUGAGAGGAUGAUCAGCCACACUGGAACUGAGACACGGUCCAGACUCCUACGGGAGGCAGCAGUGGGGAAUAUUGGACAAUGGGCGCAAGCCUGAUCCAGCCAUACCGCGUGGGUGAAGAAGGCCUUCGGGUUGUAAAGCCCUUUUGUUGGGAAAGAAAAGCAGCAGGUUAAUACCCCGCUGUUCUGACGGUACCCAAAGAAUAAGCACCGGCUAACUUCGUG